rnacentral:tRNA from 1 species
GCGACUAUGGUGGAAUAGGUAGACACAAGAGAUUUAAAAUCUCUCGGCUUAGGCCGUCCCAGUUCGAUUCUGGGUAGUCGCACCA